UAUCAAAUCUGUUUCAAAAUAAAUCCACAGUAUUUUUCAGAUACAUCUAUCAGGAAUCUCUAUUUCUGUUUUUGGCCUUACACCUUAGCCUUACAGUGUCUACAUUAUGUUUCCAUGGCAAAAUUGCUUGCAUUAGAGCCUGACGGAUCAUGUGUGAACCAUGGGAGAAAUGUCUCAGAAUGUUUUUAUUGAAGCUCUUUCCAAGAGGAUGGGUAUAGAAGUGAGUAUAGGGGAGCUGUCAUUAGCUGUAUGUCCCUCUUCUAAAUGAAGCUGUUGUAAUAUCUGUGUUUCAAGAUGCGUGUCAAGUCUGAACUGAGCUUUAAAUAAAUGCAAUUUAAUUGGUUUCAAAUAACAGAUAUAAUGAUUGCAUACCCUGUAUAAUAAGGUAUUAUGGAUUUAAAAUUCACUAGACAUUGAAGUCCGUGGAGAAAGUUUUGCUCAUCUCUGUAUUCCCAUUCGAUAGCAUUCUAAUGCACAUCUUUAUCUGGUGAAGGAAUGUGCCCCUGACCUGUCCAAUCCACAUUUGUCACUGCUGUUUUCUAUCUCUAGUCCUGACCAAGGCACGGGUUAAGUUAGGAUACCCUUACAAUGGGAGGUAUCUGGAAAUAGUUGUACAACUCUAGACACUAGGAUUGAUGGGCUUUCCCUGGGGAGGGAAUGAGUUAAUUUUCUUGCUAUAUUUCCAUACGCCACCAAGACCUGAACUCUGCCCUAAAUACUAAUGCCUGUGAGCCUGACAGCCUUUCUAAAUCCUCCUAACCCUUUUCCAUGUGACUGAACUCUGUCCCUUGUGCACCAGCCACUGGACAGGCUGCUGCAUGGAAUGAAUUGGUCACCCAUCCCCCUGACACCAACUUUAUCUGUGCCCUACCUACCCGAUCAAAUCUCCUCAAAUAUUGACAGACAUAGAGAGAUACAGUGAGGCUUGCAGAUCUUAAAUCCAAGUUUUCUCUGCCCCUUUGGACAUUAAUUUUUUGAUUAUGAAAGACCCUGAUUAGGGAUCCGAUAGAUAACUGGAUCAAUUUUUUUCAACCCCGUCUCUUAAAUAUUGAGUCUUUCUAAUUUUCCAAUGGCAGCCCAUCUUGAAAUGUGAGACACUGAAAGUUAAAAGUAAAUGCUAUAUUGACUGUUAUAUUGAAUAAACAGAUAUGUACAAUUUCUAAUAAUAUAUGCUUAGUAAAAGGAGUUUAGUUGCACAAGGAAGUUUUGAAGCUAAAGUAUUUUAAUAAUGACUAUAGUAAAUUGCCUUGAAGAGGUUUCUCAAUUUUUCAGAUAUUGUCAACAAUAGAACUUAAAUAUGAUAGCAGAAACUUUUAUAAAAUGAGAUACUAUUUCAUAAUUAUAGUGUUGACAAAAAUGUUCGGAGAUGAGUUUUGUGAAAACUUACUGCUUUAGUUUCUGUGCUUCUGAUAUAAUUAAAUAGGAUUCAUGUGGCAAGUGGAACUGUAGCGUGUCAUUGACUCUGAUGCUGAGAGUGAUACUGAGAAAGUCAACUCAACACAACCAUCAUUCACUGAACAUUAACAGACAUGAGGCAAAGGAGAGCGGGUGUGGUAACCACAUUAGUUGAUACAGAUGUGACAUUCUGGAAAGGAAUUUCCUCAUGUUAUACCCUGUCUGGAGGACUUUGCAGCAGCCCUUCUCCUAAGCUUUGUUUGCUUGCUGGCUGGCUUGCUUGUUUUAAUCAGUGACCACAGCGAUGACAAAGAAGAGAGGCUAACCAAAUCUGCAGAGGUUGCAAUGUUAUGGAUAACUAAUGUGCUGAAUGGUAAACACAGGAUUCAGAAUAUCUUGAUAGCUUACACCAGAGGACCAAAACUAACAAUAUACAAUUUCACAGGGAUAAAUGUAAAGUCCUACAUUUAAGUUUAAGAAAAGUCAACUUCCCAAAGGAGAGAAGUAGGAACACAAGAUUACAGCAAUAAAUACACUAAAAUAUUUAGGUCAUAGCAAAUUAAACGUAGCUAACCUAUGAUGAUGUAACCACCACCAAAGCAAGCUAGCAAAGCUUUCUUCAGAGCAGAGAAGAACCUAGAACAAGGAAAGUACCAGUCUGGUCUCUGCACUGGCCACAGCCAAUCUAGAAUUAUCUGGUGAGUUCUAGAUCUCUUGGUUUAAGAACAACGAUAACAAAUCUGUACAAAUAGUGUUAACAGUAAAGGCUAUUGAAAUCAUGUGAAAGCAACAGUAGAUGUUCAGUCUGAGGAUGAUGAUUUAUCAUCUUGAAGGGGGCUUUAACUGAAUAGCAUAGUAAAAUAGAAUAAUAAAAUAGCCUUUGAGAAUCAAAAAUAUGGAUGGAUGGAUGGAUGGAUUUUGGCUCUACUUGGUGUUAAUAUUCAGACUCAAAAAAUUACUCCCGUUUCUAUCUUUUUAAAAAAUUGGGAAAUUAAAAAUUACAUGUAUUUAUUAUGUACAACAUGAUAUUUUUCCCCUGUAUACAUUGUGGAGUGAAUAAAUUGAACUAACUGAAAA